GCCGGGCGUGGUGGCAGGCGCCUGUAAUCCCAGCUUCUUGGGAGGCUGAGACAGGAGAAUUGCUUGAACCCAGGAGGUGGAGGUUGCAGUGAGCCGAGAUCGUGCCAUUGUACUCCAGCCUGGGUGACAGAGCGAGACUCUGUCUCAA
rnacentral:SRP_RNA from 1 species